AUGGGAUGGAGCUGGAUCAUCCUCUUCCUGGUGACAGCAUCUACAGUUAAGGGUGUCCACUCCCAGGUCCAGCUGCAGCAGUCUGGUGCUGAGCUGGUGAAGCCUGGAGCUUCAGUGAAGAUGUCCUGCAAAACUUCAGGCUACACCUUCACUGACUAUGCUAUGCACUGGGUCAAACAGAGGCCUGGGCAGGGCCUGGAGUGGAUUGGAGGUAUUUAUCCUGGAGAUACCAGUACUAGCUACAAUCAGAAAUUCCAGGUCAAGGCCACACUGACUGCAGACACAUCCUCCAGCACAGCCUACAUGGAGCUCAGCAGCCUGACAUCUGAUGACUCUCCUGUCUAUUACUGUGCGAGAGACACAGUGUUGGAACCACAUCCUGAGUGUCAUAAACAGUGA